GGGGGAUUAGCUCAGUUGGGAGAGCGCUUGAAUGGCAUUCAAGAGGUCAGGGGUUCAAGUCCCCUAUCCUCCA
rnacentral:tRNA from 1 species